GACCCCAGGUCAGGCGGGACUACCCGCUGAAUUUAAGCAUAUCAAUAAGGCGGAGGAAA
rnacentral:rRNA from 1 species